rfam:Salmo salar isolate Sally breed double haploid chromosome ssa12, whole genome shotgun sequence.
GCCUGGCUAGAUCAGACGGUAGAACAUGAGACUCUUAAUCUCAGGGUCGUGGGUGAGAGCCCCACGUUGGGCG